AGAGGUACUGUACUGGCUAGAUGGGAGGUACUGUACUGGCUAGAUGGGAGGUACUGUACUGGCUAGAUGGGAGGUACUGUACUGGCUAGAUGGGAGGUACUGUACUGGCUGGGAGGUACUGUACUGGCUAGAUGGGAGGUACUGUACUGGCUAGAUGGGAGGUACUGUACUGGCUAGAUGGUAGGUACUGUACUGGCUAGAUGGGAGGUACUGUACUGGCUAGAUGGGAGGUACUGUACUGGCUAGAUGGGAGGUACUGUACUGUAUUGGCUAGAUGGGAGGUACUGUACUGUAUUGGCUAGAUGGGAGGG
ensembl:lncRNA